GGUGAAGGGGCGGGGCGGUGGCAAAGGUGCCGCCCUCUCGGGCCUCUGCGCGCGGCCGCAGCGUGCUUAUGAAUACUCAUGAAGUGGGCGGGGGGCGCCACGCACCUCUUUUCGGACGCCCUUUCCCGCUUCCUUUAGUUUGGUCUGGAGGGGCUCGGAGGUGGAAGGGGCGCCUGAGGUGGCGGCGUCGCGGGUGGGGCGUCGUCGGCAAAAGGCUCCGUCCCUCAGGAGCCAUUUAGCCCACAGGCCGAAGCCGCGCGUGACGUCAGCUGCCUUUCCCUCAGUGGGAGAUGGCCGAGGCGAGCCCCGUGGGCCGAGAUGCGAGGGGAGCCCUUGGCUGACCAGUGCCGUGAGGAACUCUUCACAAGGAACCCGCGACUUACUUCGUGUUAUUACCUCACUUACCCUACGUAAGAGGUGGAUGAGCUCUAAAACAGUAAUUUUUUUAGUAAAAAUGGAGAAGCAAAACAGGCGUACACCCCCCCCCUUCCAGUAUUUUUAACUUUCGGCUUCAGUUAUUGGGAAGAAAGCAGCCUCGGGUGGCGAUCAGCAGUACCGGACAGUAUUCGGAUCGUGUUGCUCAUUGGGAAGCAAGACCACUGAAAACGGCAGAAGCGUGGAAGGAUUGCGGCCCAUCUCUCCUGAAAACGCUACUUGUCCUUCAUACAGUAGUUAGAUAAGAGGUAGUUAAAGGGCUGGGGAGCUAUACAUAAAAUUUUAGGAGCUUAACUGAGAACAGUCAUACUAGUUUCUGCUUUUGAUUGGGAUUUUUAUAUUUUAACGUAUUUGCAUCUUGGCCUUCCCCUAUAAAAACUUCUUAGAGAAAGGUUAUAAACAUAAGAGUGAGCGAAAGCAAAGCAUGGGAAACAUCUCUGGAAUCCAACCCCUCGCCACUUUCGCUUCCAGCCUUCUCUGGCUUGAAAGAAGGUGGGGAUAAAAGAAAAUGCACACGCUUGACAUGUUGUAUAUCUGGCCUCUUUAGUUGCUGUUUUACUUUCCACUGAAUCCUACAGAAGUGAAUCUGUGCUCAUAGGAGAAAAUAGGCUGUUGCCCAUAACAGCUCAAUCACAACUAGUUCUUAGCAGAGUUGUGUAAACUACAAACAUUUGGUAGACAUGAAUAGGGAUCUACCUACUUAUAUAAACAUUUAGUUUAUAUAGACUGUUGCUUACCUUGAGCCUUCAGGCAUAAAUUGGGUAGAUUAAUAAAUAAAUUAUCCAUUUAUUUUCCUUCCACAAUGGCUGGAAUUUCGUAAAUGUUGGGACUUGAGAGUAUAUAUUAUUAGGCUUGAGCUGCUGUGCCCAGCUGUCUAUUCCCAUUAAAAACAAUGCAACUGUGUUGGAUGUUAAAGGCUGUGGGCUAGCAAUCGGGCAAUCUUUUCAAAAUAAAAUUGAUAACAAAACUUGUAUGUUAUGUAUUAAGAAAUCUAAACAUUUGUAAAAGAAAAAAAUACUGCUGCACCUUCAAGACUAGACAACUUAUUGCGCCACAAGCUGUCCAUAAGACUCUUUCAUCAGAUAGAAAAAUUAGUGCCAAACAUUUUACCACUUGGCUUGGAAUAGGCCAGAUACCUUACAAUGAGUCUAGCAGUGCUCAUGCUUGCACAUGAGCAAAAUUUAAGGGAACAGGUAAAUCUUUAAACAGGCAGAAUUAGAGAAUUGCAUCCAAUGAUAGCCUCCAGCUAGCAAAUAUGCUUCCUGUGUUAGGCGAGGCACUUGGAAUUUACUCACAAUUUUUACCCAGCGCAGCCUUUGGGUCUCCCAAAAUCUGCUCCUGGUGGUUGGGAGACCCUCUGGAGCAGAAGGGGAUUUGAUAAGGCAGAGGUCAGCAACCUUUAUCAGCUGUGGUCCACCAUCCCUCAGACCAUGUGGUGGGCCAGACUAUAUUUUGGGGGGGAAAUGAAUGAAUCCCUAUGCCCCACAAAUAACCCAGAGAUGCAUUUUAAAUAAAAGCACACAUUCUACUCAUGUAAAAACACGCUGAUUCCCGGACCUUCCAGGGGCCGGAUUGAGAAGGCAACGGGGCUGCAUCCGGCCCCCGGGCCUCAGGUUGCCUACCCCUGCAAUAAGGCAUAAACAGAAGGUUACAAUUGGUAGUGAGAAUUAGUGAAAAUGGAGUUCCUCUCCUUGCAUCAGUUGAACCAUUUUAUUAUCACAAAGCCACUACUGGAAACAACCAAUAGUAUUUUCCCACAAAUUAUUGUUGAGUAUUUAUUUACUGUUUUAUAUGUUCAAGGGCAUUACCCCCCAAAAGUAUGCCGAUAUUGCAAACUUUGUGAUACAGUAAAUGAAAAUUUAUAAAUGUGUACAUGGGAGUAACAGUUGUUCAGCUAACCAUCUUUAGACUAAGGCAGGCAAAACCAGCUGCGUCUUUAGAUUCAAGGAAAAUUACCAGUAUGGCAGUCAGCAACCAGCCCUUGAGAAAAUGUUGGGACUAGAGUCAAUAUUCAAAAAUACAUUCUUAUUUUGAUUUUUGUGAUAACUUAUGGAUAGAACAAUAAUUCUAUUUGUAAUGUUUCUAGGUAUCUCACAGUGUUGUAAAGUAUCAGAGCAGGUAGCAUUUCUACAACAGAGACAGAAAAAAUUAAGGACAUAAAAUAAAAACAUAGCCACUUUUAAAAUAACUCCCUGUUGGCUUAACUCCCAGCCACCAAAUGCCCGUCCAAAUGAAAAAGGGCUGGCAUUGCUUUUGGAAAAUGCUUGAGCUUUGGCGAAACUCCAAAAGAGAGGAGAAGCAGUUGCUGUGAUUGCCUCUCCAGGUGUCCUUGACCUUCAUAGGUUUUGCACAGCUGAUAUUGCAAUAAAGGCCAUCUUAGUAGGUCUGAAUGAUCAAGUAAAAAAAAAAAAAGUGAAAGAAUUAAGUGCAGUUUCUACUUAGCUAAUGGUUGCAAAUUUUCGCAGUUCUGUUUUAAAGCUUUUGAGCCUUCCUGAACUCUUGGGAUAUAAAUAUAAAGUGCUAUACAACCAAAUAUCUACUGGGAGUAGAUACAGUGAUCUCAAUUGGUCUGCUAUGAGUAAGACUUAGUUGGAUGUCACCCAUAGUAAGUCACACAUUUCCUCUUUAUUUCAAGUCUAUUGGUCACUGUCAUGUUUAACAGGUGGUGCUAACAGCUGCUGUUCACCAACGCCACCUUGGUCAUACAUAAUGUGCAUAGUAAAUACUUGCAAUACCUUCUUCCAAAUGCAGAAGGAAACCACCGUGUCUUUUGAUGAGGGCUGGGGAGAAAAUAGUUUCACCAAAAACAUUGUGAAAUUGAUCCAGUGUCAUGACCCCACCACGACCAAAAAAAAAGUAUUUUGUUAAGUCAUACUGCUAAUUAGUUAAUACAUUUUCUUAGGGAUACGUUCACUUUAACUCACUUGUUCAACCUCUGACUCCCCUACAAAUUAUAGCAUGGGGCACCUUUUAAGCCUUUGGGUUUACAUUUUUGCAAUACAUUCCUUUUUUAAAAAGAAAGAGUAAGAAAAUCAAGUGUAAAAAAGGGUUUCCCAAAGCAUUUCAGGUUUAAAAACAGGAUUGCAUGGAAUGGUACAUUGUGUCUUUUAUACAUUUUUUAAAGUCUUCAAUCACUGCCCUUUGUUUGGAAGGUAUUUAACUCUGCACUUCUCAAGUGAAUAGUUGAAAGGACAGUCUAUAAAAGAAUUUUCCUUUAGAUAUUCAGUGGCUGUCCAUUAUAUGAUACUUCUUCUGCUUGGGAUUCUUUUCUCUAAGCAUGUCUGCCUACUUCUCUGUGUUCUGGUAAUAACACAAAUGACUAAGGAUUUAGCUGAAAGUACUAGGGGAAACUGUUUCCCACUGCAAUUCUGGUUCUAUUCUGGAGAACAAGCUGCUGUCUUGUGUGGUAGAGCUGUCAGAAUAGCACAUUUUUAACUAAAGCACGAAAGAGCCAAGUGUGAAUAAUGGGGUUACUAUGUAGUCAUGACAGCAGAAUGCUGACAUGAUACUCAAGAGAGCAAUGGACAUGGGGCCAGAGUUUCACUAGAAAUCAUGUCUUUUACUGGUUAAUUACUGAAGGAUUCCCAUGAAGGAAGGGAGAAAGAAAAGGAAGGAUUAAGACACAGUUGAUCAGCAAACUUCAGUUUCUAAGGAAGAGAAAGGAUGUUUGCAGCAAGGCGGAGAAAGAUUUAGACUGAGUAAAUGAUUUAAAGAGAAGGAAACAAUUGUUAGCCGUUUAUUCUGUCUGAAUCUCAGGAAGGAGGCUGUUUCAGGGAGGCGAGGAUGAACAUAGCAUGUAGUUUACUGCCAUUUAACAACAAAAAAAUCAUGAUGAAGAAUUGAAACAACCCAUUUCAAAGUGAGUGAUGUGUAUUAUAAAUGAUCAGCCUCAUUCUGAGCCAGCAUAGUUUUGAUUGGAUUAAAAGACUCUGUGACAAUCGCCUUCCUGCCAUGCAAUAAACAUAAUGGCUGCAAGAUCCACAUUUUAAAUUGGGCCAGAUUAAAGCUGGUAGGAGUCCUAGGGUACAAAUUAAAUGGAAGUCCUUGUGACAUACAACAACAACAAAACUUCAUUUGCAGUAGAGAAAUAUACUGAAACGCUGGAUCUAGAUCAGAGAUGGGGAAGCUGUGCCUCCCCAGAUAUUGCUGGGCUACAGCUCUCAUCACCCCUGACUGUUGGUCAUACUAGUUGGGGCUGAAGAGAGUGAAAGGGUCAAACUUGGAGGGUCACAAGCUCCCCAUUCCUAGAUAAAGAGCUUUAUUCUGCUUCCAGUUUCCUCCUAGCUCAACACCAGCUCAAAGCCUCUUCACCAGCUGCGUUAAAAAAAAUAACUGAAAAAUGCUGUAAUGAAAAGAAAACCAUUUUAUGGCGGAUUCUUUCCCUCAUAUUCUCUCUCUCUCUAUAUAUAUUUCUGUUUUACAAUUUCAAAUACUCACUUUACAUCCUUAAAAUAUUAAUGAUUCUUUCACUCUCCUGGGCUAUGGAAUUGCUAUGCUUAAUUCUGCUAGAAGGUAUUCUAUGGAUAGAGGAACAGCAGCUUUUCUAGGGCCCAUAAAGAGCCAGAGAAAGGUUUGCUGCAUGGUUGCCUUGGUAUGCGCUACAAAGUGCUUAAUCUAGCCCUUAAAUUGUCUAAAUUGAGGGUCAUUUGGGCAAUCUUUUUUGCAGGCUUCUUGAUUACAAAGGAACUUUUCCCUACGCCAUGUGAACUUCCUUUCUUCCUGUUCCUUUGAUCUUCUCCAGGGCUGAAGAGGAGAGUGAGCACUUCCAGAUGAACAGUGGGCUUUGUUUCCUUAAGGUUACAUUUAGGAAAGUUUGAAAGCUGCUUCCUGGAUUGAGGGAAACUCAUUGUGGCACAGCUUUAGGAAAGUUGGGCCAAAUUUUUAGAUAUACAUCGUAUACACCGCAACAUACUAGCAGCAUAAUGGCUUUGCUCCUACACAAUAGGGGAGCAAAGAUAUACUGCAAUAACUCCCUUUUAGCCAUAAUCAUUCUUAUUGUGGAUAUCCACUGAUUUCAUUCUAUGGGGGGGGGAACCACCCCAAGACCCCGUCCAGGAAGCUGACAAGAAUUAUUUACCGGUACUUUCCCUGUGGAUCCCGUGAUAAUAGUUGUAACAUGUUGAGUGGGCAAUUUAAUGGUCACAUAACGGUUAUGGCAGGCCUUUGUACAAACUUAUUGGAACUGUGGGAAUUCUGAUCACAAAAAGGGCCUUCCUUCCCUUUCCCUUUCCCCUUUUGGUGUUGUGUGUUUUAGAUUGUAAACCUGUGGGCAGGGACUGUCUUGUUUUAACUGAAUGUAUGUAAGCCCUCUAGGAAAGCCUUUUUGGCUGAAACGUAGGGCACAAAUGCUUAAAACAAAUUAAAAGGGGCCUCUGCUGCACAAAGUUUUCCUCUAUAGUCACUUUCUCAGUCAAGCUGUUAAAAUAACAAGAAAGACGUGUAAGUUAACUGUCUUGCUGGUCUGAUACAAUGUAACUCAAACAAAGAGCACUUUGUCAGGUCAAUACUAAUAUUUUCUGGCUGUUACAAUUCUGUGCACUGUAACAGAAAUAUGCAUAGGGAACAUGCUUGGCUUUUCCUUAGAAGUCAAUGGAUGAGUAUAAUAAUGAUUUUAAUUGAACUGGAACUGAAAUAAAAGGGCUUUUACAAGUUUGUAAAUAAAAAUGGAUACAUGUUCCCAUGUAUGACAUCAAACAAUUCUCUUUCCUUUGGCUUAAUUCUUUUGUGG